rnacentral:rRNA from 1 species
GCAUAUCAAUAAGCGGAGGAAAAGAAACUAACAAGGAUUCCCCUAGUAACGGCGAGUGAAGCGGGAUGAGCUCAAACUUAAAAUCUCCAUACAAGUUUUGUGUGGCGAAUUGUAGUCUAUGGAGGCGCUGUCAGUGCGGUUAUCUGGGAUAAGUCUCUUGGAAAAGAGCAGCAUCGAGGGUGAUACUCCCGUUUGUGCCUAGAUAGCUUGCGCGUACGACACGUUUUCUUUGAGUCGCGUUGUUUGGGAAUGCAGCGCAAAGUGGGUGGUAAAUUCCAUCUAAAGCUAAAUAUUGGUGCGAGACCGAUAGCGAACAAGUACCGUGAGGGAAAGAUGAAAAGAACUUUGAAAAGAGAGUUAAAGAGUACCUGAAACUGCUGAAAGGGAAUCGAAUCGUAUCCAGUGUCUAUAAUCUGCAGCAUAUUUCAUUGGCGAGUCGAUGCGUGUUUUGUGUUGGUAGUUCGUAAGAUCGCCGCGCGGAAUUCUGCAUUUGCUUGCUGGUGCCCUGUGUUGUGGUGUGACGUCAGAGUCAGUUCGUAUACCGCGGGAAAUGGCUAAUAGAGGAGGUAGGUCAGGUGCUUGCACUCGACUGUUAUAUCUUUGUUAGCUAGUGGUCGUGGUUGGGACUGAGGUGCCUACAACGUGCUUAGAGUCUUGCGGGUGCUUGUCUGGUCGACUGCUUGGAUUGCUUGCAAUGCUGGUGGUUGUAUCGGGUGAUUGUGCCUGUAAGUAACUUUUGCCGUUCGGGACUUUGACGAAAUGGAGCGAUUCGGCCCGUCUUGAAACACGGACC